rnacentral:rRNA from 1 species
GACGAACGCUGGCGGCGUGCUUAACACAUGCAAGUCGAACGGUGAAGGGGAGCUUGCUCCCCGGAUCAGUGGCGAACGGGUGAGUAACACGUGGGCAACCUGCCCCAGACUUCGGGAUAACGCUUCGAAAGAGGUGCUAAUACCGGAUACGAACUCCUUGGGCAUCCUUGGGGUUGGAAAGUUUUUCGGUCUGGGAUGGGCCCGCGGCCUAUCAGCUUGUUGGUGAGGUAACGGCUCACCAAGGCGACGACGGGUAGCCGGCCUGAGAGGGCGACCGGCCACACUGGGACUGAGACACGGCCCAGACUCCUACGGGAGGCAGCAGUGGGGAAUAUUGCGCAAUGGGCGAAAGCCUGACGCAGCAACGCCGCGUGAGGGAUGACGGCCUUCGGGUUGUAAACCUCUUUCAGCAGGGAAGAAGCGAAAGUGACGGUACCUGCAGAAGAAGCACCGGCUAACUACGUGCCAGCAGCCGCCGUAAGAC